UACAGAGGGUGCAAGCGUUGUUCGGAAUUAUUGGGCGUAAAGGGCGCGUAGGCGGUGCGGUAAGUCUGCAGUGAAAUCUCUGGGCUCAACUCAGAGUCUGCUGUGGAAACUGCCGUGCUUGAGUGUGGGAGAGGUGAGUGGAAUUCCUGGUGUAGCGGUGAAAUGCGUAGAUAUCAGGAGGAACACCUGUGGCGAAAGCGGCUCACUGGACCAUAACUGACGCUCAUGCACGAAAGCGUGGGGAGCAAACAGG
rnacentral:rRNA from 1 species